GAUGAACGCUGGCGGCAUGCCUAACACAUGCAAGUCGAUCGGUAAGGCUCUUCGGAGUACACGAGAGGCGGACGGCUGAGUAACGCGUAGGAACACACCCUGCAGUGAGGGAUAAGACACCGAAAGGUGUUCUAAUACCGCAUACGGCCUUCGGAUUAAAGCAUUUAUGCGCUGAAGGAGUGGCCUGCGUCAUAUUAGAUAGUUGGUGAGGUAAUGGCUCACCAAGUCGAUGAUGUGUAGCUGGUCUGAGAGGAUGAUCAGCCAGACUGGAACUGAGACACGGUCCAGACUCCUACGGGAGGCAGCAGUGAGGAAUAUUUCACAAUGAGCGAAAGCUUGAUGGAGCAAUGCCGCGUGCAGGAUGAAGGCCCUCGGGUUGUAAACUGCUUUUAUAAGAGAAGAUUAUGACGGUAACUGAUGAAUAAGGGACGGCUAACUACGUG
rnacentral:rRNA from 1 species